rnacentral:rRNA from 1 species
AACGAACGCUGGCGGCAGGCUUAACACAUGCAAGUCGAGCGCCCCGCAAGGGGAGCGGCAGACGGGUGAGUAACGCGUGGGAACAUACCCUUUCCUGCGGAAUAGCUCCGGGAAACUGGAAUUAAUACCGCAUACGCCCUACGGGGGAAAGAUUUAUCGGGGAAGGAUUGGCCCGCGUUGGAUUAGCUAGAUGGUGGGGUAAAGGCCUACCAAGGCGACGAUCCAUAGCUGGUCUGAGAGGAUGAUCAGCCACAUUGGGACUGAGACACGGCCCAAACUCCUACGGGAGGCAGCAGUGGGGAAUAUUGGACAAUGGGCGCAAGCCUGAUCCAGCCAUGCCGCGUGAGUGAUGAAGGCCUUAGGGUUGUAAAGCUCUUUCACCGGAGAAGAUAAUGACGGUAUCCGGAGAAGAAGCCCCGGCUAACUUCGUGCCAGCAGCCGCCGCCGUAA